rnacentral:rRNA from 1 species
AACGAACGCUGGCGGCAGGCCUAACACAUGCAAGUCGAACGAUCCUUCGGGAUAGUGGCAGACGGGUGAGUAACGCGUGGGAACCUUCCCUGUGGUACGGAAUAGCUCCGGGAAACUGGAAUUAAUACCGUAUACGCCCUUUGGGGGAAAGAUUUAUCGCCAUAGGAUGGGCCCGCGUUGGAUUAGCUAGUUGGUGAGGUAACGGCUCACCAAGGCGACGAUCCAUAGCUGGUCUUAGAGGAUGAUCAGCCACACUGGGACUGAGACACGGCCCAGACUCCUACGGGAGGCAGCAGUGGGGAAUAUUGGACAAUGGGCGCAAGCCUGAUCCAGCCAUGCCGCGUGAGUGACGAAGGCCUUAGGGUUGUAAAGCUCUUUUGGCGGGGAAGAUAAUGACGGUACCCGCAGAAUAAGCCCCGGCUAACUUCGUG